UCAGGAUGAACGCUAGCGACAGGCUAACACAUGCAAGUCGAGGGGCAGCAUAAAAGUAGCAAGUACUUUGGUGGCGACCGGCGCACGGGUGAGUAACGCGUAUGCAACCUACCUAUCAGAGGGGAAUAACCCGGCGAAAGUCGGACUAAUACCGCAUAAAACAGGGGCACCGCAUGGUGAUAUUUGUUAAAGAAAUUCGCUGAUAGAUGGGCAUGCGUUCCAUUAGGUAGUUGGUGAGGUAACGGCUCACCAAGCCGACGAUGGAUAGGGGAACUGAGAGGUUGGUCCCCCACACUGGUACUGAGACACGGACCAGACUCCUACGGGAGGCAGCAGUGAGGAAUAUUGGUCAAUGGGCGAGAGCCUGAACCAGCCAAGUCCGCGUGAAGGAAGAAGGAUCUAUGGUUCGUAAACUUCUUUUGCAGGGGAAUAAAGUGCAGGACGUGUCCUGUUUUGUAUGUACCCUGAGAAUAAGGAUCGGCUAACUCCGUGCCAGCCGCCGC
rnacentral:rRNA from 1 species